GUGGAUUAGAUACCCUAGUAGUCCUAGCAGUAAACGAUGGAUACUAGGUGUUGGGGGAAAUUGACCCCCUCAGUGCCGCAGUCAACACAAUAAGUAUCCCGCCUGGGGAGUACGGUCGCAAGAUUAAAACUCAAAGGAAUUGACGGGGGCCCGCACAAGCAGCGGAGCGUGUGGUUUAAUUCGACGCAACGCGAAGAACCUUACCAGGGCUUGACAUGCUAUGUUCAGUGGUGGAAACAUCAUGGCCGCAAGGCGAAUAGCACAGAUGCUGCACGGCUGUCGUCAGCU
rnacentral:rRNA from 1 species